UAGCUCAGUUGGUAGAGUGCUUGCCUUGCAUGCAUAAGGCCCUGGGUUCAAUCCCCAG
rfam:Ictidomys tridecemlineatus contig058248, whole genome shotgun sequence.